rnacentral:rRNA from 1 species
AUUGAACGCUGGCGGCAUGCUUUACACAUGCAAGUCGAACGGUAACAGGCCGCAAGGUGCUGACGAGUGGCGAACGGGUGAGUAAUGCAUCGGAACGUGCCCAGUCGUGGGGGAUAACGCAGCGAAAGCUGCGCUAAUACCGCAUACGAUCUCUGGAUGAAAGCGGGGGACCGAAAGGCCUCGCGCGAUUGGAGCGGCCGAUGUCAGAUUAGGUAGUUGGUGGGGUAAAGGCCCACCAAGCCAACGAUCUGUAGCUGGUCUGAGAGGACGACCAGCCACACUGGGACUGAGACACGGCCCAGACUCCUACGGGAGGCAGCAGUGGGGAAUUUUGGACAAUGGGCGCAAGCCUGAUCCAGCAAUGCCGCGUGCAGGAAGAAGGCCUUCGGGUUGUAAACUGCUUUUGUACGGAACGAAACGGUCCUGGUUAAUACCUGGGGCUAAUGACGGUACCGUAAGAAUAAGCACCGGCUAACUACGUGCCAGCAGCCGCAGUAAAAC